GUAAGGAAUAUUGGUCAAUGGACGCAAGUCUGAACCAGCCAUGCCGCGUGAAGGAUGAAGGUCCUCUGGAUUGUAAACUUCUUUUAUCUGGGACGAAAACGGGAUUUUUAUCUCAAUUGACGGUACCAGAGGAAUAAGCACCGGCUAACUCCGUGCCAGCAGCCGCGGUAAUACGGAGGUUGCGAGCGUUAUCCGGAUUUACUGGGUUUAAAGGGUGCGUAGGUGGGCUUAUAAGUCAGUGGUGAAAUCUCCGAGCUUAACUUGGAAACUGCCGUUGAUACUAUAGGUCUUGAAUUAUCUGGAGGUAAGCGGAAUAUGUCAUGUAGCGGUGAAAUGCUUAGAUAUGACAUAGAACACCAAUUGCGAAGGCAGCUUACUACAUAUAAAUUGACGCUGAGGCACGAAAGCGUGGGGAUCAAACA
rnacentral:rRNA from 1 species